UAAAAAAUAAAGAGUCGAGCCUGCCCAGUGAUAGAUAUUUAACGGCCGCGGUACUCUGACCGUGCAAAGGUAGCAUAAUCAUUUGCCUUAUAAUUGAAGGCUAGUAUGAAUGGUUUGACGAAAACAAUACUGUCUCUUUUUAAUUUUAUAAAAUUUGAUUUUUAGGUGAAGAAGCCUAAAUAAAAUUGAAAGACAAGAAGACCCUAUCGAGCUUAAAAAAAUUUUGUUAAAAUAAAAUGGCUAUAAAAGAUCUCCCGUAACAAAAAAUUUUAGUUGGGGCGACUAAGGAACAAAAAAGCUUCCGCUUUAUUAUAAAAGCUUAUAAGCUAUGAUCCAAAAUUCUUGAUUAAAAAAAUUAGCUACCGUAGGGAUAACAGCAUAAUCUUUUUUGAGAGUUCUUAUCGAAAAAUAGGUUUGUGACCUCGAUGUUGGACUAGAAUAUCCUAAAUGAUGCAGAAGUCUUUAAGGGUUGGUCUGUUCGACC
rnacentral:rRNA from 1 species